AUGAAAUCUCCGUUGCUUUUCCUUUCCCUGCUCUCCGCCCCCACCUGUGUCCUGUCUCAGGUGCGGCUGGUGCAGUCGGGCCCAGGAAUAGUGAAUCCCGGAGAGACCUUCACACUGACCUGUGCUGUCUCUGGUGUACCCAUCAAUGACUUCAGCUACAGUUGGAACUGGAUCCGGCAGCCCCCCGGGAAAGGGCUGGAGUGGAUGGGCUAUGUGUACCCGUGUAACAGCAGGGAGACAGGCUCUGCCCCGUCUCUCCAGGGCCGAGUCACCAUCUCUGCAGACACCGCCAAGAACCAGGUUUCCCUGCAGCUCCGCUCGCUGACAGCUGCAGACACCGCCGCCUAUUACUGCGCCAGGCACACAGUGACAAAGACCAGAGCAGGGACUCGUAUAAAAAGGGGAAGCGGUUUCUAA